GACGAACGCUGGCGGCGUGCUUAACACAUGCAAGUCGAACGGUGAAGCGCCUUCCUUUUUGGUGGGUGUGGAUGAGUGGCGAACGGGUGAGUAACACGUGAGUAACCUGCCCCCUUCUUCUGGAUAACCGCAUGAAAGUGUGGCUAAUACGGGAUAUUCUGGGUCUGUCGCAUGAUGGGUCUGGGAAAGAUAUUGUUUCGGUGGGGGAUGGGCUCGCGGCCUAUCAGCUUGUUGGUGGGGUGAUGGCCUACCAAGGCGGUGACGGGUAGCCGGCCUGAGAGGGUGGACGGUCACACUGGGACUGAGACACGGCCCAGACUCCGACGGGAGGCAGCAGUGGGGAAUAUUGCACAAGGGGCGCAAGCCUGAUGCAGCGACGCCGCGUGAGGGAUGGAGGCCUUCGGGUUGUGAACCUCUUUCGCCAGUGAAGCAGGCCUGCCUCGUUUGUGGGUGGGUUGACGGUAGCUGGAUAAGAAGCGCCGGCUAACUACGUG
rnacentral:rRNA from 1 species